GAUGAACGCUGGCGGCGUGCCUAAUACAUGCAAGUCGAGCGAACGGACGAGAAGCUUGCUUCUCUGAUGUUAGCGGCGGACGGGUGAGUAACACGUGGAUAACCUACCUAUAAGACUGGGAUAACUUCGGGAAACCGGAGCUAAUACCGGAUAAUAUUUUGAACCGCAUGGUUCAAAAGUGAAAGACGGUCUUGCUGUCACUUAUAGAUGGAUCCGCGCUGCAUUAGCUAGUUGGUAAGGUAACGGCUUACCAAGGCAACGAUGCAUAGCCGACCUGAGAGGGUGAUCGGCCACACUGGAACUGAGACACGGUCCAGACUCCUACGGGAGGCAGCAGUAGGGAAUCUUCCGCAAUGGGCGAAAGCCUGACGGAGCAACGCCGCGUGAGUGAUGAAGGUCUUCGGAUCGUAAAACUCUGUUAUUAGGGAAGAACAUAUGUGUAAGUAACUGUGCACAUCUUGACGGUACCUAAUCAGAAAGCCACGGCUAACUACGUGCCAGCAGCCGCGGUAAUACGUAGGUAGCAAGCGUUAUCCGGAAUUAUUGGGCGUAAAGCGCGCGUAGGCGGUUUUUUAAGUCUGAUGUGAAAGCCCACGGCUCAACCGUGGAGGGUCAUUGGAAACUGGAAAACUUGAGUGCAGAAGAGGAAAGUGGAAUUCCAUGUGUAGCGGUGAAAUGCGCAGAGAUAUGGAGGAACACCAGUGGCGAAGGCGACUUUCUGGUCUGUAACUGACGCUGAUGUGCGAAAGCGUGGGGAUCAAACAGGAUUAGAUACCCUGGUAGUCCACGCCGUAAACGAUGAGUGCUAAGUGUUAGGGGGUUUCCGCCCCUUAGUGCUGCAGCUAACGCAUUAAGCACUCCGCCUGGGGAGUACGACCGCAAGGUUGAAACUCAAAGGAAUUGACGGGGACCCGCACAAGCGGUGGAGCAUGUGGUUUAAUUCGAAGCAACGCGAAGAACCUUACCAAAUCUUGACAUCCUUUGACAACUCUAGAGAUAGAGCCUUCCCCUUCGGGGGACAAAGUGACAGGUGGUGCAUGGUUGUCGUCAGCUCGUGUCGUGAGAUGUUGGGUUAAGUCCCGCAACGAGCGCAACCCUUAAGCUUAGUUGCCAUCAUUAAGUUGGGCACUCUAAGUUGACUGCCGGUGACAAACCGGAGGAAGGUGGGGAUGACGUCAAAUCAUCAUGCCCCUUAUGAUUUGGGCUACACACGUGCUACAAUGGACAAUACAAAGGGCAGCGAAACCGCGAGGUCAAGCAAAUCCCAUAAAGUUGUUCUCAGUUCGGAUUGUAGUCUGCAACUCGACUACAUGAAGCUGGAAUCGCUAGUAAUCGUAGAUCAGCAUGCUACGGUGAAUACGUUCCCGGGUCU
rnacentral:rRNA from 1 species